UACGAAGGGGGCUAGCGUUGCUCGGAAUCACUGGGCGUAAAGCGCACGUAGGCGGAUUGCUAAGUCAGGGGUGAAAUCCUGGAGCUCAACUCCAGAACUGCCUUUGAUACUGGCGAUCUUGAGUCCGGGAGAGGUGAGUGGAACUGCGAGUGUAGAGGUGAAAUUCGUAGAUAUUCGCAAGAACGCCAGUGGCGAAGGCGGCUCACUGGCCCGGUACUGACGCUGAGGUGCGAAAGCGUGGGGAGCAAACAGG
rnacentral:rRNA from 1 species